rnacentral:tRNA from 1 species
GGCUCCAUCGUCUAAUGGUUAGGACAACAGCUUUUCAAGCUGUGAAUCGGGGUUCGAUUCCCCGUGGAGCUACCA